GGGACGCAUUUGACAUCCAGAGGUGCUACUGCAAUUACACCACAGAUGUGGUUGCCAGCGUCGCCUUUGGCACCCCGGUGGACUCCUGGCAGGCCCCUGAGGAUCCCUUUGUGAAACACUGCAAGCGUUUCUUCGAAUUCUGCAUCCCCAGACCUAUCCUGGUUUUACUCUUAUCAUUUCCAUCCAUAAUGGUCCCACUGGCCCGGAUUUUGCCCAAUAAGAACCGAGAUGAACUGAAUGGCUUUUUUAACAAACUCAUUAGGAAUGUGAUUGCCUUGCGGGACCAGCAAGCUGCCGAAGAGAGGCGGAGAGACUUCCUCCAAAUGGUCCUGGAUGCCCGACAUUCUGCAAGUCCCAUGGGCGUGCAAGACUUUGACAUCGUUAGAGAAGUUUUCUCCUCUACUGGGUGCAAGCCGAACCCUUCCCGGCAACACCAGCCCAGCUCCAUGGCCAGGCCUUUGACUGUGGAUGAGAUUGUGGGCCAGGCCUUCAUCUUCCUCAUCGCUGGCUAUGAAAUUGUCACCAACACACUUUCUUUUGCCACCUACCUACUGGCCACCAACCCUGACUGCCAAGAGAAGCUUCUGAGAGAGGUGGACGUUUUUAAGGAGAAACACGUGAGUACAAGUUGGGUCCAGUUACCCACGGGAUAUCCAUAGGACAAUUGAUUUUGUGUUUGUGGGAGUGAAACUUAUUUUUAAUGACUUGCUAAUAUCACAUUCUAAGCUUAUAAGAUGAAAUAGGGUCAUUGCUCGGCUUCUCCUGCUCUCCAGGUUAGCAAGUGAAAUGAAAUGUUGAGAACAAUAACCACAACAAAAAGACAAAUUGUGUGUGCACCUUCAGUGUCUGGGGUAGUCCAUGAAGCCGGGCCUGGCUCGAGGAAGUUGUGGAAGCCCAGGAAGGUGUCAGGCCCAAAGGGCAGGGAUGGGGAAGGAGUCGUGCCUUCCCAAUAUCUGACUUGGAGCUGCCACACGGAGGGAGGCAGGUGUGAGCCAGAAAAGAGAGCCAAGCUAGAAGGCAGGAGUAGACAAAAGGACAGGCCAAGCUGAAGCUGGACUGAAGACUGGAAGCUGAGGAGGAGGCUCACAAAUGGAAUAAGGGAAGAUGGGGCCCGUCAGCGCCCAGGCCAGCUUCAGGGCAUUUUCUUCUAGAUGAGGCCCCUCUUGAUCGCUUAUAGCAGAUAUAACGAGGGUGCUGAGCGAGGCUACUUUAUCACCUCAUUUUUUCCUCUAGAUGCUUGUGUGUGUAUAACUUUGACUCAUGAGUUGUCAAAGAGAUUCAUUUUUAAAAUCUGUGCUUUAAAAGGAAGACCACCACAGUGGAAUCCUUUCUGUUACAUUCUGAUAUGAUUGCUAUUACAUUCACCAUUUUGAAAGGUGGUCUGUUCUGUUACUGGAACCAUUAAAAAAUGUUUCAUACAAUGAACUGAAAACCA
rnacentral:sRNA from 1 species